rnacentral:rRNA from 1 species
GACGAACGCUGGCGGCGUGCUUAACACAUGCAAGUCGAACGGAGUGGCGAACGGGUGAGUGACACGUGUGUGAUCUGCCUUGCACUUCGGGAUAAGCUUGGGAAACUGGGUCUAAUACCGGAUAGUGCAAGAUGGGCUCGCGGCCUAUCAGCUUGUUGGUGGGGUAAGGGCCUACCUAGGCGUCGACGGAUAGCCGGCCUGGGAGGGUGUACGGCGACAAUGGGACUACGAUACGGACCAGAGUGCUAUGGGGGGCAGUGGGGGGGAAUAUUGCACAGUGGGCGGACGCCUGAUGCAGAGACGCCGCGGGGGGAAUGAAGGCCUUGUGGUUAUAAACUCCUUUAGACAGAGACGCGGUACCUGGAGAAGAAGCACCGGCUAACUACGUGCCAGCAGCCGCGGUAAUUC